rnacentral:rRNA from 1 species
GACGAACGCUGGCGGCGUGCCUAAUACAUGCAAGUUGAGCGCUGAAGGUUGGUACUUGUACCAACUGGAUGAGCAGCGAACGGGUGAGUAACGCGUGGGGAAUCUGCCUUUGAGCGGGGGACAACAUUUGGAAACGAAUGCUAAUACCGCAUAAAAACUUUAAACACAAGUUUUAAGUUUGAAAGAUGCAAUUGCAUCACUCAAAGAUGAUCCCGCGUUGUAUUAGCUAGUUGGUGAGGUAAAGGCUCACCAAGGCGAUGAUACAUAGCCGACCUGAGAGGGUGAUCGGCCAAAUUGGGACUGAGACACGGCCCAAACUCCUACGGGAGGCAGCAGUAGGGAAUCUUCGGCAAUGGACCAAAGUCUGACCGAGCAACGCCGCGUGAGUGGAGAAGGUUUUCGGAUCGUAAAACUCUGUUGGUAGAGAAGAACGUUGGUGAGAGUGGAAAGCUCAUCAAGUGACGGUAACUACCCAGAAAGGGACGGCUAACUACGUG